UCUGAGACGUACCAGUCCUUGUUGAUUUUUAUACUGCUUGACUAUAUUGGGACAAUACGGCACCUGUAACAAAAACACCCUCAUAAGAUGUCUGUCUACUUCCUGCACAUGCUGAAACUCAGAGCAGAUCACUGCAGACAAGCGACAGUGAUGGCCUUCAACACGCUGAUCUGUGUGGCGGCUCUGCUGAUGCUGCUGAUCAGAGAGUGUGACUCUCAGCUCUCUG